AUUUAAUAUGGACUCCGAGCCUGGGAGCCUACGAUAUUUUUAUUAUGGUUCCCAGGCCGAUAGGGAUUGUCUGGAAACGGGCAUUCCUCCUGUGUGGAAAGGAGAAUUUUUUGACCGGAA
rnacentral:ncRNA from 2 species